UCACAUGGCCCACCUUGCGCCGUGGGGGCUCGGGGACACCCUUUGACUCGCGCGUGCGUUAGACUCCUUGGUCCGUUUUGGUUGAUAUAAACAAGUACAGUGAAGAUUGAAC